rnacentral:rRNA from 1 species
AACGAACGCUGGCGGCAUGCCUAACACAUGCAAGUCGAACGAACCCUUCAGGUCUAUUCGCGCCCGGUUGCGUCACGCGAGGGAACCUGCCCUUAUGUUCGGAAUACCUCUCCGACAGGGGUACUAAUACCGGAUCAUGUCUUCGGCCCAAUGAUUUAUCGCCUUUGGAUGUGCCCGCGUUGCAUUAGCUAGUUGGGAGGGUAAAAGCCUACCAAGGCGACCAUCCAUAGCUUGUCUGAGAGGAUGAUCAGCCACACUGGGACUGAGAAACGGCCCAGACUCCUACGGGAGGCAGCAGUGGGGAAUAUUGGACAAUGGGCGAAAGGCUGAUCCAGCACUGCCGCGUGAGUGAUGAAGGCCUGAGGGUUGUAAAGCGCUUUUACCCGGGAUGAUAAUGACAGUACCGGGAGAAUAAGCCACGGCUAACUCCGUG